rnacentral:rRNA from 1 species
UACGGGGGGCCUACGGGAGGCAGCAGUGGGGAAUAUUGGACAAUGGGCGAAAGCCUGAUCCAGCCAUGCCGCGUGUGUGAAGAAGGUCUUCGGAUUGUAAAGCACUUUAAGUUGGGAGGAAGGGCAGUUACAUAAUACGUAAUUGUGUGACGUACCGACAGAAUAAGCACCGGCUAACUCUGUGCCAGCAGCCGCGGUAAUACAGAGGG